rnacentral:rRNA from 1 species
GAUGAACGCUGGCGGCGUGCCUAAUACAUGCAAGUCGAACGAACGGACGAGAAGCUUGCUUCUCUGAUGUUAGCGGCGGACGGGUGAGUAACACGUGGAUAACCUACCUAUAAGACUGGGAUAACUUCGGGAAACCGGAGCUAAUACCGGAUAAUAUUUUGAACCGCAUGGUUCAAAAGUGAAAGACGGUCUUGCUGUCACUUAUAGAUGGAUCCGCGCUGCAUUAGCUAGUUGGUAAGGUAACGGCUUACCAAGGCAACGAUGCAUAGCCGACCUGAGAGGGUGAUCGGCCACACUGGAACUGAGACACGGUCCAGACUCCUACGGGAGGCAGCAGUAGGGAAUCUUCCGCAAUGGGCGAAAGCCUGACGGAGCAACGCCGCGUGAGUGAUGAAGGUCUUCGGAUCGUNAAACUCUGUUAUUAGGGAAGAACAUAUGUGUAAGUAACUGUGCACAUCUUGACNGUACCCUAUCAGAAAGCCACGGCUAACUACGUGCCAGCAGCCCGCGUAAUACGUANGUGGCAAGCGUUAUCCGAAAUUAUGGGCGUAAAGCGCGCGUAGCGGUUUUUUAGUCUGAUGUGAAAGCCCACGGCUCAACCGUGGAGGGUCAUUGGAAACUGGAAAACUUGAGUGCAGAAGAGGAAAGUGGAAUUCCAUGUGUAGCGGUGAAAUGCGCAGAGAUAUGGAGGAACACCAGUGGCGAAGGCGACUUUCUGGUCUGUAACUGACGCUGAUGUGCGAAAGCGUGGGGAUCAAACAGGAUUAGAUACCCUGGUAGUCCACGCCGUAAACGAUGAGUGCUAAGUGUUAGGGGGUUUCCGCCCCUUAGUGCUGCAGCUAACGCAUUAAGCACUCCGCCUGGGGAGUACGACCGCAAGGUUGAAACUCAAAGGAAUUGACGGGGACCCGCACAAGCGGUGGAGCAUGUGGUUUAAUUCGAAGCAACGCGAAGAACCUUACCAAAUCUUGACAUCCUUUGACAACUCUAGAGAUAGAGCCUUCCCCUUCGGGGGACAAAGUGACAGGUGGUGCAUGGUUGUCGUCAGCUCGUGUCGUGAGAUGUUGGGUUAAGUCCCGCAACGAGCGCAACCCUUAAGCUUAGUUGCCAUCAUUAAGUUGGGCACUCUAAGUUGACUGCCGGUGACAAACCGGAGGAAGGUGGGGAUGACGUCAAAUCAUCAUGCCCCUUAUGAUUUGGGCUACACACGUGCUACAAUGGACAAUACAAAGGGCAGCGAAACCGCGAGGUCAAGCAAAUCCCAUAAAGUUGUUCUCAGUUCGGAUUGUAGUCUGCAACUCGACUACAUGAAGCUGGAAUCGCUAGUAAUCGUAGAUCAGCAUGCUACGGUGAAUACGUUCCCGGGUCU